UCGGGUCAAACGUGUCUGGGGCCGCCGCUCGCACGCACGCUGCUUGUCUCGUCCGCUGCGCCCGCGUCGUGCGUUUAUGGGAGCAGCUGCGCAGGGCUCGGCCGGUGCAUGUGUACCUGGCUUAUGCACCAGCGUCUCUCCUAUCGCGAUGACAGGUGGGCCGGUCCUGCUACUGGUCCCGCUCGUCAGCUGCGCGGACUGCGUCAGGGUGGUUGGUUGUGCGGACUGCGCCGGGUUGGCUGGGGCAUGUUCGCGUGGACCCCUGGCUGACUGAUGCAUCGUGUGCGCGUCCUGCGUGCCUCACCUCCGUCUGCGGUUGGAGAGAGGAGAUGGACUGGAAAAAUAUCUCGCGAGCCCACCUCGCGCGUCUCCAUCGACCUAGCCGCCUCCAUGCUCGUGCAUCCUCCCGCGUCAAUGGCGCCCAAACCUCCUCAUCUCGGAUCCCGUGGGCCGAGGUGCGGGCAUGGAGGCGAGCAUCCCUGGCGGCCGCGGCGGCCUACAGGCAAAGGGUGACGGCGGCGGCGGCGCUCGAUUAGAUCCGCGGGAGAGAGAGAGGAUGAGAGGGAGAGAUAAGGAAGAAGAUGAGAGAGAGAGAGAGAGAGAGAGAGAGAGAGAGAGAGAGGAAAGGGGAGAGGAAGGGCUUCUACGUCACCGCUCUCUGGAUGCACGCCAUCCACCCGCGCACGCUCGCCACCAACCUCGCCGGCUUCACCAGGUUCCUCCACGACCCCCGCGAUGAGCGCAAGGACCAGGACGACGUCGCCGCGGCGGCCCCGGGGGCAAGAGCGGCAAGCGGCGUUGCGUCGACGGCCUUGCCGCCGCCGCGGCUGAGGCCGCCAAGGCCCGGCGCGAGAAGGAGGCGGAGCACGCGCAGGCCGUGCUCGCGCGCUACGACUCUGACGAGGCCUUCCGCAACCUCUACGACAGCGUCGCCGACCUCUUCGUCUGGCUGCUCAAGUCGGGCCUGGAGCACCUGCGCGCGGGCAACACGGCCAAGAUCGUGUUCGCCGCCAAGUGCGCUCGUCGUACGCAUGGGUCUCCUUUGCUCCAUGGGUGCCGCUGGCUGAGGAUGGAGCAGCAGGCAUAGAAGAAAUCUACAACCAGUUUCUCUUGGCUGCGCCAUCUUCCGCUGACAGUAACUCUACACAACAGCCUGCUAAGAUAGACAACUUUGGCGGAUGGGGAGGCAACUUUUGAAAUAAGAGGCAACUUUAAUACCAUGGGGGGGAGGGGGGAGGGGCAACUUUGGUGCUACGAGAAGCAACUUUGUGCUUUCUCUCAUGCCUUGCUCAACUGCACAAUUGUACAAUCAAAUGCUUAUCUCACAUGAGGAAGAAAACUUAGUGUCGCAUGUUACGGAGAUACAAAUAUAUAGAUGGCCAUAAAGAAAUUCCAUUCGAAGCUGUCUAACUGAUUGAGUGAGCUGAAACCUGUCCGAGCCAAUUUAUUUACCUUUGGAUAUUAAUAUCUCAUCUUGCUCCGAUACCAAACUACUUGGUUUUCUAGGUGCACCAGGAGAAGUCUGAUGAUAAGGCUGAAGCUCUUUCAUCUUCUAUUGAUGGAAAGAAUGAUAAGGAUGACCAGGGGUAGAUGACCAAAAAAAGGGAGCUGUGCUACUGGAAAGGGGGCUGGGACAGCAAAGAAAUCAAGGCAGUUACUACUCUGCGCCAUCUAUGCAGAGAUUAAUUACCUAUAGUAGAGAGCAAGGGACAUAUAAGAAAUCUCCAGGCAGCUUCGCUUAGAUGCAUCAUCUUCUGCUAGGACCUAGGAGUCAGCUUGAAGAAUGACCUUCUCAGGUUAAUUCUUUAUAGAGAACAGGAGACUGCAACUGACAUGCUGGAUGGUGAAUAACCAAAUUUGUGGACAAAGACAGAUAGUUCAUCGCAAGGGGUGGUAUUUAGGAUAUAUAUACACAAAAGAGGAAACUUUCUUUUGUACAGAACCAAAUUAUAUGAUGUAAUUGACCACUAUUUCUAAGAAAUGUUCAUCGUGUAUUAAGUACAUUUUAUUGUGUCACUUUUUUUUGAGGGGUAGCUUUAUUCAUCAAACACCACAAAGUGUGCAAUGGAGUUCAUCAAACCUGGCUUUAUUGUGUCA